rnacentral:sRNA from 2 species
AUGUACCAAGGGUGCGCUGCGGGUAGUGCGCGCCGUCCGCAUCCAGCUGACGUCUGCUCGCCAGGCGUUGUCAGCC